UGGGGAAUAUUGCACAAUGGGGGAAACCCUGAUGCAGCAACGCCGCGUGAGUGAAGAAGUAUUUCGGUAUGUAAAGCUCUAUCAGCAGGGAAGAAAGUGACGGUACCUGACUAAGAAGCCCCGGCUAACUACGUGCCAGCAGCCGCGGUAAUACGUAGGGGGCAAGCGUUAUCCGGAUUUACUGGGUGUAAAGGGAGCGUAGGCGGUUUUGCAAGUCAGAAGUGAAAGCCCGGGGCUUAACCCCGGGACUGCUUUUGAAACUGUAAGACUGGAUUGCAGGAGAGGUAAGUGGAAUUCCUGGUGUAGCGGUGAAAUGCGUAGAUAUCAGGAGGAACACCGGUGGCGAAGGCGGCUUACUGGACUGUAAAUGACGCUGAGGCUCGAAAGCGUGGGGAGCAAACAGGAUUAGAUACCCUGGUAGU
rnacentral:rRNA from 1 species